UACGUAGGCAGCGAGCGUUGUUCGGAGUUACUGGGCGUAAAGCGUGCGUAGGCGGUGUCUUAAGUUUGUUGUGAAAUCUCCCGGCUUAACCGGGAGGGUGCGGCGAAUACUGAGAUGCUGGAGUGCCGGAGAGGAUGGCGGAAUUCCCCAAGUAGAGGUGAAAUUCGUAGAUAUGGGGAGGAACACCGGUGGCGAAGGCGGCCAUCUGGACGGAUACUGACGCUGAGACGCGAAAGCGUGGGUAGCAAACAGG
rnacentral:rRNA from 1 species